AUUGAACGCUGGCGGCAGGCCUAACGCAUGCAAGUCGAGCGGGGUUUUCGGACCUAGCGGCGGACGGGUGAGUAAUGCGUAGGAAGCUACCCGAUAGAGGGGGAUACCAGUUGGAAACGACUGUUAAUACCGCAUAAUGUCUACGGACCAAAGUGUGGGACCUUCGGGCCACAUGCUAUCGGAUGCGCCUACGUGGGAUUAGCUAGUUGGUGAGGUAAUGGCUCACCAAGGCGACGAUCCCUAGCUGGUUUGAGAGGAUGAUCAGCCACACUGGAACUGGGACACGGUCCAGACUCCUACGGGAGGCAGCAGUGGGGAAUAUUGGACAAUGGGCGCAAGCCUGAUCCAGCCAUGCCGCGUGUGUGAAGAAGGCCUUCGGGUUGUAAAGCACUUUCAGUAGGGAGGAAGCGUUGUGUGUUAAUAGUACACAGCGUUGACGUUACCUACAGAAGAAGCACCGGCUAACUCUGUGCCAGCAGCCGCCGUAACAC
rnacentral:rRNA from 1 species